UACGUAGGGUCCGAGCGUUGUCCGGAGUUACUGGGCGUAAAGCGCGCGCAGGCGGCUCGUCAAGUCUGGCGUGAAAGCCCCCGGCUCAACCGGGGAGGGUCGUCGGAGACUGGCGAGCUUGAGGGCGGUAGGGGCUGGUGAAAUUCCCGGUGUAGUGGUGAAAUGCGUAGAGAUCGGGAGGAACACCCGUGGCGAAGGCGGCCAGCUGGGCCGUCCCUGACGCUGAGGCGCGAAGGCGUGGGGAGCGAACGGG
rnacentral:rRNA from 1 species